rnacentral:lncRNA from 1 species
UUUUUAAGUAUGGCAUGAAUAGGCUAGAAUGUCUAUGUAUUUAAGUUUUGAUAUGUAUAUAUGUUAUGCCAUGAGAGUUGGCUAGCAAAUGGUAUGUUUGUGCUUAGUUUUGGUAAAUGGUUUGUGAUGUCAAAUUGUGUAUGCUUGUAAUGGUUAUAUGGCCUUGUAUGUGGUGGUCAUUUUGAAAUAUGCCAAGUCGAGGAAAUGGUAAGUUUAAGCAUGAGUUAGAAGAUGCCAUAAGUGAGUUAUGAAAUGAGCAUUUUGGCAUGUUG